rnacentral:rRNA from 1 species
AUGCUACAGGAACAGACGGCCAUCAAGGAGGCGGGCGGGCCGUUGGCUGAGGGGGCGGGCAAGAGGAAGAGGCCGGAGAAGGCGCAGGUGAUGGCGCGUAUCUCGCGUUUCCCGGCAUUCUGUUGUUUCUCGGCGUCUCUGGAGUGCGUUCUUGAGCGUUUCUUGGUUUCUGUUGAGCAGGUGAAAUCGUCGCACGCCAUAGGGGAGCUCUGGAACAAUCUUAGAAAGUUUUUUCAUGGAGAAUCACCAGGUUAUGUGCACUAUUCACAACAUGUGAAUCACCAGACACAUCCCAUGACUGAAGUCAGAAAGUAUUAUUUGGUUUCUGAUUUGGCUACGGGACAAGGAGUGGACCAUCUUGAUGCCUAUUCAAAAUUUAGACCGGUGACUGGAGAUGGGGAGUGUUUCUACAGGAGCUUCAUAUUUUCCUACCUGGAGCAAGUUCUUGAUAGGCACGACACACAUGAGGAACACCGUCUCCUUGAUGCUCUUAAAAGAGUGUCUGUGCAACACGCAGAUCUUAGAUGGACCUCUGAAUUUCCCAGGAGCUACAGAGUAUUUAAGAAGCUGAUUAAGAAAGUAAAGAGAUGGAAGAGGCAUGGCAGGUGGAAGUGGAACAGCAUAGCAUCAACUAGCAGCUACCGCAAAGAGAAACUUCUCGAGUUCUUCAGAAGUUAUGAUACGACGGAAGACAUGCAUCCAUUCUUCGACAUUUUACCUGACCUGUUGCUCUACAAACAGUGGUGCUUUCAGCACGUCACUCCAUCUCGUCAGUACGCGGACCAUGUUAUGAUGACGGCCUUGGCCGAAGCGCUUGAGGUACCACUUAGAGUGGAGCAACUCAAUGGAGGACCUGCUCAGGAUAUCUACACCGGUCCUGGACCUGGAAUUCCCCAUGUGAGUGUGACGCUUCUGUACACGGGCAAUCACUACGACGUCCUCUACCCACACGCUCCUCCUACCGAGAGUUCAAGUCAGCAGAUCUCCUGA